UUGAAAGGGAAACGAUUGAAGUCAGUCGUACCGACGAGAAAUCAGCUUAUCGUGUGUUAACUUGUGGGCGUGCGUGAGUUUCGGCCUCGCUGUUUGCAUGUUUGUGCGCUUUGGGUGUACUUUUUCGUAUGGUUGGCCAACAUCAGUUUCGAUUACUAUAAAAUGACUGGCGGAAUGUAGCUUCGAUUUCGGUUGAAGUGUUAUAGCCUCUGGUAGAUGUGGUGAUUGGGACUGAGGAUUGCAACGAAUAUCCUUUGGGCUAUCCGUCUGGCCUCUGAAAGUUGCUUGGGUGCUGAAAGCUUGCUUAUGGUUAUCUAAGUUAACGGUCAAUAGGUUAGAACGCGAUUACAUUCGUUAAGGAUGUUGACGUA
rnacentral:rRNA from 1 species